rnacentral:rRNA from 1 species
CAGCCGCCGCGGUAAUACGUAGGGCGCAAGCGUUAUCCGGAAUUAUUGGGCGUAAAGAGCUCGUAGGCGGUUUGUCGCGUCUGCUGUGAAAACUGGAGGCUCAACCUCCAGCCUGCAGUGGGUACGGGCAGACUAGAGUGCGGUAGGGGAGAUUGGAAUUCCUGGUGUAGCGGUGGAAUGCGCAGAUAUCAGGAGGAACACCGAUGGCGAAGGCAGAUCUCUGGGCCGUAACUGACGCUGAGGAGCGAAAGCGUGGGGAGCGAACAGGAUUAGAUACCCGAGUAGUCCCUGUCUCUUAUAC